UACGAGAGGCGCAAACGUUAUUCGGAUUUACUGGGCUUAAAGAGUUCGUAGGCGGCGCAGAAAGUAGGGUGUGAAAGCCCUCGGCUCAACCGAGGAAUUGCGCUCUAAACUACUGUGCUUGAGGGACCUAGAGGUGAGCGGAACUGAUGGUGGAGCGGUGAAAUGCGUUGAUAUCAUCAGGAACACCGGAGGCGAAGGCGGCUCACUGGGGGUCUUCUGACGCUGAGGAACGAAAGCCAGGGGAGCGAACGGG
rnacentral:rRNA from 1 species